CCUUCUAUGCCACCCAAUCCCUCCCUUCCUUUGAGGCCUCCGACCACCAUCGAUGCCUUCCAAGGUCACCCGAGCGCCUCAACCUGCUCUAUGUUAUGGAUCUGUACCCGCCGGCCACCACCAUCCAUGGCUCCUCUGCUAUUGGGACACCACAUCGUCCCAUCUCCUUUCUGGACAUCACCCUGCAACACCAACGCUUGGCCUGCUCCUCCACCACGGCCCUGCUCGGGACACGCCACCAUCGACGCCACCGUUGAGAAUCCACCCCAACUCGAGCAGUUCACCGGCGCCAUGGAGAAACACUAAGCUGCUACAUUGGAAAUACGAGGAACUUCAUCAGUGCAAGAAGUUGAUAUUCACUCAACGGCAAGAAAUAGUCUCAUAUUUUUCUUCCAAGUAGUAUGUACCAUUCCCCACUUUGAUACUUAUGAACACCCAUUUGAUAUAUCCUUUUCCUAGUUAUAGUUCAUCCAGAUCAGGAGUAGGAUUUAUGGUUCAUGAUCCAACUAAAAGAGAGGUGUAAUAUCCUCUGCCCUUGACAUGGUAUGGUACAUACUGUUAUUUCCCUACCUGUCUGCAAAUUCAUGUAUUGAUUAAUUUCGAUUCAAGUUUUCUAUCUCGCAAGAUCAUGCUAUCUUCAGUAUGCUGAAGAACAUCUGAAAUGCACCUAGACAUUAUAUUUCAGAGUAUUGACGAUGAAACUGUACCAGAGAAGGCCUAUUACCAAUAGCUAUGCUCAAGAUAUGAAUGCUCUGUUAUAACAAUUAACAAGACAAAGAUAUGCUCAGGGGCUCCUAUCGUAGGCUAUACUAUAUGUUAUCUUAAUUUAGUUACUCCGUUUACUACUUGCUUCUUGGAAUUUCUUACUGUCUUAUUAUCUAGUACUUAACAGUUCUUGUGUAUUCCUCAUAUUUAAGCUCACAGUGUUCUUCCUUCUCCCUUAAGUUGUAUUUUGUUUUCUUUCUUAUAUUAAAGAUUGAACAAUUGCAGUGCAAGCACACAAUUGGUUGUUCCUGUUCGAGAAGGUGCGCAAUCUUGCCGAGUUGCACAAAAUCAAUUAAAAUAGUAUAUUUGUACAUAGUUGGAACUAGUUGAUUGUAGCUCUUAGUUGUACAAGGUGGAUGCAAGUGUCUGGGUGCGAUGGCCCGUAGAUAUUGCAUUGCUCUGAAAAUUAUCAGUACAUUGCAUAGAUGAAUGGAUGUCACUCCUUACAUUGUUGUUUUGAACUUCUGUACUAAUUUACUGAAGCGUCAAGUAACAACUAUCCUCUGUUUGGGUCACCCCUUUCCCUAGUAGUGUUGCAUUCUAUGUCCUUAUGAAUUUUUGAUUGUCUUACUGUCCAGUACAGUAACAGUCUGCUCUCUAACUUGUUUGUCAAUAACUCCUUAUUUUAGUCUCUUUCAUUAUGUUAGGUUUUUGGGAAGAAUUAAAUGAACAUCAUCAGUGCAACAUAGAGGUUAAGGCAGGUGGUUGAGGAGCAAAAUCCAAGAUUGGGGAGCUAUGAGAGAUGCAAGAGCCUCUAAUCAAGGUAUUUUUAGUUUUGCUUUCACCAUCAUCCGCAAGUUUUAUCAGGAAUAAUUGCCAGUCAAGUUUUCUCGCGUAUAUUAAAAACAUAUCAUGCUAUGUCCAGUGUGCCCAAGAUCAUGAGACCAACAUUAUUGAGCCAGUAGUUGCUAUGUUGGUUUAGUCUGAACACAACCUCUUUCUAUUUCUUUGGGGUCUUUUAUUGUCUCACCAUGCCAUGCUGUUACAUUAUCGAAUAAUUGUAUAAUGUUUUGGAUUUUUUAUUCUUAUGGAGAUGAUGAUGACUCUGCCAUCUUUCUUGAACAUUUGAAAUGGAUAGACUUAAGAGUAUUGACAUUGGUGGUGUGAUUUAUUGCAAGAACUCUCUAAUGACUUACCUGCUCAGGAAGUUAGCUGAUAAUUCUGUCAAACUAAUCUAGUAGCAUGUGCUCAGGUUGUCCUUUAAGUGGAUUUUGUCAGUUGCAUGAUUAGUAUCAAAUCUGAGAUAUGAUGCUAGAAAAAACUACUCCAUUACUAUUCUAUAAGUUGUAGAAGUGGGUAACUUUGCUGAGAGAAAAACAAGUUGGGUAUAUAUGCCAAUGUUAUUGCGAGAAACUGAGAUACCAAAUAGAUUAUGCUUAUUAUAUCUUAUAGAUAUUGUUCCUGUUUCUCGUACCUUUUUGUAGCAAACAGUUGGCACUUGCACAUUUUUACAAGUUCAAUUAGUCCACUGCAGGGUAACCUUGAAGAGAAGCUUGCAACUUAAGUUGCAACAAAAGAUUGUAGAAAAUGAGGUAUCUCUUCUUGUGUAUAUUUAGUUGAUGCACUUGUGUGUUUUUAGAUGUUGCACCUCUGUUUUCAUUGACCUUCGAUUCAUGUACGUAAAUUCUAUGGAACUGUAUCCGAGGACAUGUGAAUUUGUAUCUAUGUUUGACGGGAACAAUUGAUAGUGAUGUUUCUAUGUUCUAAAUAUUAUGGGUUCUGGAAUAGCUAUUUAUAAAACCAUCAAUAUUUUUUUCUUCAUUGGGUUUCUUUUUUUCCUGACGGUUAUGUAUGACGCCCAUAUAAUCCUGUAGGGCCAAACCCGUCAGAGAAAUAUGAAAACCCGACAGGAAUUUAGUUCCUGUCAGCCAACCGACAAGCAUAGUUUAUUUCCCUUGUCAAGCUAUCCCUGACGGCUAACCCUGGCGGGUCACCGACAGGAAAUAGUUUUCCUGUCGGUACAUCAUAUUUUCCUGUCGGUUUUGGGCUCACAGGAAAAUUCCAAUUUCUGGUAAUGAGCGGAUAUGUACAACUAGCAAGGCUUGACACUUCUGUCGAAACCUCUACAUCUUAUAUAAAACUUCUUUCUAUCAGUCCACUUAGUCUUGGCAUCAAACUCAUGUUUGACUGCAUAAGUCUUGAAACACAUCCUAAACUCAUCCAUGUUUGGGAACAACUUCCCCACUGCAAUAACAGGGUUUUCCUUGUCAUACACAUUUACCAACUCAUCAUCAUGUGCAUCAUCUACAUCAUC